rnacentral:tRNA from 1 species
GCUAGCGUAGCUUAACUAAAGCAUAACACUGAAGAUGUUAAGAUGGGCCUUAAAAUUGUCCCGAAAGCA